rnacentral:rRNA from 1 species
AUUGAACGCUGGCGGCAUGCUUUACACAUGCAAGUCGAACGCGAAAGCGGGGCAACCCGCAAGUAGAGUGGCGAACGGGUGAGUAAUACAUCGGAACGCGCCCUUUAGUGGGGGACAACGCCGAGAAAUCGGCGCUAAUACCGCAUACGCCCGAGAGGGGAAAGCGGGGGACCGCAAGGCCUCGCGCUGUUGGAGCGGCCGAUGUCCGAUUAGCUAGUUGGUGGGGUAAAGGCCCACCAAGGCGACGAUCGGUAGCUGGUCUGAGAGGAUGAUCAGCCACACUGGGACUGAGACACGGCCCAGACUCCUACGGGUGGCAG